ACGGGUGAGUAAUGCUUGGGGAUCUGGCUUAUGGAGGGGGAUAACGACGGGAACUGUCGCUAAUACCGCGUAUAAUCUUUUGAUGAAAGUGUGGGACCUUCGGGCCACCUGCCUUAGGAUGAACCCAAGUGGGAUUAGGUAGUUGGUGGGGUAAUGGCCUACCACGCCGACAAUAUCUAUAUGGUCUGACAGGAUGACCAACCACCCCGGGACUACUGAAACGCCCGGACUCCUCCUGGAGGCAGCAGUGGGGAAUAUUGUUCAACGGGGGCAACCCUGACUGAUCCAUGCCGCGUGAAUGAACAAAGCCUUCUUUUUGUAAUGUUCUUUCCUUGCCGAUGAAAGUUGUUGUGUGAAUAGCGCAACAGAUUGACGUUAAUCCUAAAAAAAUCACAGGCUAACUCCUAGCACGCAUCCCCCGAACUACAUACGGAUUUAUUGUUAAUCGGAAUAACUGGGCGUAAAUGUCAAACUCGCAGACUUUUAUGUGAGGUGUGACUCUGUAUUGCUUAACCUGACUAUUGCACUACACACUGGGGGUCUUAAGUCUUUUCUGGAGGGGUAGAAUUCAACUUGUAACAUAGAAAUGCGAAUAUCCGUGGAGGAAUCCAGAUAUGCUAGAGAGAUACUGAGGAAUAUACGGUCGCUCAUGAGUAUCAGACUGGAUAACAUACCCAGUUAAUCCACUGAGUAACCGAUGAUUACUAGCUGUUAAAUUGUCGAAC
rnacentral:rRNA from 1 species